rnacentral:tRNA from 1 species
GGAGGGAUGGCUGAGUGGCUUAAGGCAUUGCUUUGCUAAAUCGACAUACAAAUCUUAUUGUAUCAUGGGUUCAAAUCCCACUCC